GUAAAAGGCAUGUGUGACUAACUCACCACACGAGUUUCUGGAGCAAGGCAUGUCAGAAGGUGGAGAAAGCAUUCUACAAAGAGCAGAGUAUGCGGGGGUGUGUGUGUGUGUGUGUGUGACGACCUGGAGCAGCCCAGCCCAGAGCUCAUAAGACCUUGAUCCCUCUCGCUGCCAUAGACCUGAGAACCCUGAGCAGUGGCUGAAGAAGGUAGGGAAGCAUAUAGCUGCUCUCAGUCCCCUCUCAUUCCUCCUUCAGGAACAGGAUGGCUCCAAUCCUCUGGACUCUGGUGGCAAAAAAAAAAAAAAAAAAAAAAAAAAAAAAAAAAAAGAGAGAGAUCUAAACAUUGGAAGAACCGGGCAGCAUGUGGGUUAUCUGCGGUUAGGCUGGAGUCUGUGUGCGCCUGCUGCCCUCUGCAGGACAGUUCUAGAAUUACACUUACUCUGGGAUGCUAUGUCAGAUACAGAGAUGGUCCCACCUAGGGAGGCAUGCUAGUGAGUUUUCUGUCAGCCUGAGUCACCUGGGAAGAGGAAACCUUAAUUAAGAAAACGCCUCCAUCAGAUUAGCUUAUAGGCAAGUCUGUAGGGGCAUUUUCUUGAUUAAUGAUGAUGUAGGAGGGCCAAGGCAACGGUGGGUGGAAGGGACCACCAGGGCUGAGUGUGCCACGGAGGGCAAGCCAGUAGGCACCAUUCCUGUGGCUUCUGCUUCAGUUCCUGCCUCAAAUUCCCGCCCUGACUUCUCUGCAUGUUUGGAAGGGCUAAAAUGAAACAAACCCUUUUAUUCCCCAAGUUGCUUUUGGUCAAUGAAGUGAAACAUGAAGACUCUUUGGAAAGACAGUUGGAGGGUGUUUUGUUAGGACAAACACGUGAAGGAAUGUUUCAUUAAAGUGGACACAGGUGUAAAAAGCUAAGGCGGAUUCGUGAAGGAAUGCUUAGCUGAAGCAGACACAGGAGAAAUGAUGUUCUACUAAAGCAAGCACGUGAAAGGACGUGUGAUGAAGGAUUCUUGGCUAAUGACAGGCAUCGUCCACCUCACAUUGCAUUUGUCGGGAAACCAUGGAGAGAAAUGCACCAAAAACUUGUGGCGGUGUGCUGUAGUUUGUUGCCACUUUCAAGGACUCGGGCUGACUGGAUGCAUGUGCUGAGGCAGGACACGUGGAGGACACGUGAUGCUUGGAGGGUAGAAAUAGGACUCCACAGAAUGACGAAGAGAGCUUGGCUUGCUGGUACAGCUGGCUGUGUAACGCUUGUGGGUCUCUCGUCUUCACUGAUCUUCGCUUCCCUGAGAGAUGCACAGCUGAGAACUUCUCCCGGGGCCCCUUCUGCUGUCUGGAGCUGAGGCUGAGGCCCGGCUGUCUCUGCUAGGUAGUGUCACUGCUGUUGCUAACCUGAUUCUUCUGAACUGGGCUCCUGGUGCAUCUGUGAGGUAGUUUAUCUGUGAGGUGUUUGCGAGUGGAUGGAGCUGCCACUGCCUGCUAACCUGUGAACUGAACUGCAGAUUUCCAGACAACAGACAGGAGUUGCUCCAAAUAACCUUUCUAAACAAGUCCACUUCCCUCUACCCCCACCCCCAUAUCCUUUUUACUAACUCUGAAGGGGGGGGGGGCUACAAGAAAGGUUAAAGCGUUUAAGAACCAUCAUUAAAAACAGGAUUUG
rnacentral:lncRNA from 1 species